GAAAUAUUAUUAAAAUUUAAACUUCUAAUUUAAAUAAAAGUGAAAUCAUCAUUUAUAUUUCU
rnacentral:tRNA from 1 species